UGACUGACUAUGAUGUUUAUGUUUGAUUUUUUUUUUAUAUGAUAUGUAUUCUUGAAUCUUGAUUGCGUUUUAAGAAUGUUUUUGCAGGAAUGUUCAAGACUUCAAGACUCUAUGUUUAAGUCAUAGAGUUUGUAUUAGGAAUGUGAGAAAAGUGUAAUUUUUUUUUUAUUGGAUUGAUCAUGCAGGAGAUUGUCGUUUGAUGAUUGCGAUGAUCUUUUUUUUACUGAUUGAGUUAUUUAAUGAUACUUUGACUUUAAAAAUCUGAUUGCAUCGCUUAACUCUACAGAUUUAGUUAGUAUAUUUUAAGCGAUUUUCGCAACUAAAUUUUAUAAAAUAUAAAAUAAACUUAAACUCCAUCGAUCUUUCUUUGAUUUUUUAAUGUACAAUCUAUAUCUAAAUGCUUAAAAUUAUAAAAUUAAAAUUUAUAUUUAAUACAAAUAGUCUAAACUAUUUAAAAAUUAUUUAUAUAUUUUAAAUUUUUAUAAUAAUAAAUAAAAAAUUAGAUUGGACUUAAAAAAUAUUAUAAAUCUUCUUCUUCAUAUAUGAAGUGAGAAAAAUUGAAGAGAGGAAAAAAAAUAAAAAAAAUUAAAGGGAGAGAGACUAAAAAAAAUUGAAGAGAGAGGAAAAAAAUAAAAAAAAAUUAUUUGAGGAGAGGGAUAAAAAAAUUGAAGAGAGAGGAAAAAAAUAAAAAAAAAUUAUUUGAGGAGAGGGAUAAAGAAAAUGAAGAGAGAGAGAAUGAAAUAAAAAAAAUUGAAGAGAGAGGAAAAAAAUGAAGAGAGAGGGGAAAAAACUGAAGAGAGAAAGAAAAAAUAUUAAAAAGGGAGGGAAAAAAAAUGGAGAGGAAAAAAAAAA
rnacentral:lncRNA from 1 species